GGGUGCGUAGCUCAGUUGGUAGAGCAGCUGACUCUUAAUCAGCGGGUCCACAGUUCAAUCCUGUGCGCACCCA
rfam:Mesorhizobium sp. LSHC420B00 scaffold0019, whole genome shotgun sequence.